AAACCGGAACCACCGAGACCUGAGACCUGGGACACGCUGCGACCGGAAGUGGGGGAGGUGACGUUGGGAAGUGCUGGCGUGGCCUGAGCCACAACCAAGAAGAGCAUAAGGUCAUCCUGGGGGUUGAACUCAGGUCACCAGGCCUGGCUGCAGGUGGUUUUACCCAAUGGGCCAUCUCACUGACUGGUUAACAUAUCACCCAGCUCUCUCGGCUUCAGCCUUCAAUUUUACUUCCUAGACUAACAGAAAAGGAUGAAUACGGGGCUUUGUGAGCUCCUUGCCCUGACUUCAUGAAGUCUUUGGACUGUGAAACCCUGCCUCAUUAUCCUUGACCUGAUGUCUCUGCGAGUUCAAGGCCAGGCUAGUCUACAGAGUAAGUU